rnacentral:tRNA from 1 species
CCUAAACUGUAGGGCCUCGAUCCCGCAAAAUCUCAGUUAACAACUAAUCGUUCAAUCCAGCGAACCUCAGCUUA